UAAAUAGCCAGGCUGUCUUUGGAUGGUUGCCGGCUUCUUAGAGGGACUGUCAGUGUCUAGCUGACGGAAGUUUGAGGCAAUAACAGGUCUGUGAUGCCCUUAGAUGUUCUGGGCCACACGCACACUACACUGACAGAGCCAGUGAGUUUUUUUCCUUGGCCAGAAGGUCUG
rnacentral:rRNA from 1 species